CUGGCUCCGGUUCACGUCCCGCACCCGCGAGUGACGACCCGGCGCC
rnacentral:ncRNA from 1 species